ACGGGUGAGUAACACGUGGGUAACCUGCCUGUAAGACUGGGAUAACUCCGGGAAACCGGAGCUAAUACCGGAUAGUUCCUUGAACCGCAUGGUUCAAGGAUGAAAGACGGUUUCGGCUGUCACUUACAGAUGGACCCGCGGCGCAUUAGCUAGUUGGUGAGGUAACGGCUCACCAAGGCGACGAUGCGUAGCCGACCUGAGAGGGUGAUCGGCCACACUGGGACUGAGACACGGCCCAGACUCCUACGGGAGGCAGCAGUAGGGAAUCUUCCGCAAUGGACGAAAGUCUGACGGAGCAACGCCGCGUGAGUGAUGAAGGUUUUCGGAUCGUAAAGCUCUGUUGUUAGGGAAGAACAAGUGCAAGAGUAACUGCUUGCACCUUGACGGUACCUAACCAGAAAGCCACGGCUAACUACGUGCCAGCAGCCGCGGUAAUACGUAGGUGGCAAGCGUUGUCCGGAAUUAUUGGGCGUAAAGGGCUCGCAGGCGGUUUCUUAAGUCUGAUGUGAAAGCCCCCGGCUCAACCGGGGAGGGUCAUUGGAAACUGGGAAACUUGAGUGCAGAAGAGGAGAGUGGAAUUCCACGUGUAGCGGUGAAAUGCGUAGAGAUGUGGAGGAACACCAGUGGCGAAGGCGACUCUCUGGUCUGUAACUGACGCUGAGGAGCGAAAGCGUGGGGAGCGAACAGGAUUAGAUACCCUGGUAGUCCACGCCGUAAACGAUGAGUGCUAAGUGUUAGGGGGUUUCCGCCCCUUAGUGCUGCAGCUAACGCAUUAAGCACUCCGCCUGGGGAGUACGGUCGCAAGACUGAAACUCAAAGGAAUUGACGGGGGCCCGCACAAGCGGUGGAGCAUGUGGUUUAAUUCGAAGCAACGCGAAGAACCUUACCAGGUCUUGACAUCCUCUGACAACCCUAGAGAUAGGGCUUUCCCUUCGGGGACAGAGUGACAGGUGGUGCAUGGUUGUCGUCAGCUCGUGUCCUGAGAUGUUGGGGUUAAGUCCCGCAACGAGCGCAACCCUUGAUCUUAGUUGCCACCAUUUAGUUGGGCACCCUAAGGUGACGGCCGGUGACAACCCGAG
rnacentral:rRNA from 1 species